CGAAGCAGAAGCAGGAGAAGGAGG
rnacentral:piRNA from 1 species